rnacentral:rRNA from 1 species
UGAGGAAUAUUGGUCAAUGGGCGAGAGCCUGAACCAGCCAAAUCGCGUGAAGGAAGACUGCCUUAUGGGUUGUAAACUUCUUUUAUACAGGAAUAAAAAAGGGGACGUGUCCCUUAUUGCAUGUACUGUAUGAAUAAGCAUCGGCUAACUCCGUGCCAGCAGCCGCGGUAAUACGGAGGAUGCGAGCGUUAUCCGGAUUUAUUGGGUUUAAAGGGUGCGCAGGCGGGCUUUUAAGUCAGCGGUGAAAUCUCGGGGCUUAACUCCGAAACUGCCGUUGAAACUGGGAGUCUUGAGUAUGGAUGAAGUAGGCGGAAUUCGUUGUGUAGCGGUGACAUGCUUAGAUAUAACGAGGAACUCCGAUUGCGUAGGCAGCUUACUAAGCCAUAACUGACGCUCAAGCACGAAAGCGUGGGGAUCAAAACGGGAUUAGAUACCCUGGUAGUCCACGCCGUAAACGAUGAUUACUAGUUGUAUGCGAUAUACCGUAUGUGACUAAGCGAAAGCGAUAAGUAAUCCACCUGGGGAGUACGCCGGCAACGGUGAAACUCAAAUGAAUUGACGGGGUCAUAGCUGUUUCCUG